rnacentral:misc_RNA from 1 species
UACAGAGGGUGCGAGCGCUAAUCGGAAUUACUGGGCGUAACGCGCACUCAGGCGGUCUGUCAAGUCGGUUGUGAAAUCCCCGGGCUCAACCUGGGAACUGCAUCCGAAACUGGCAGGCUAGAAUCUUGUAGAGGGGGGUAGAAUUCCAGGUGUAGCGGUGAAAUGCGUAGAGAUCUGGAGGAAUACCGGUGGCGAAGGCGGCCCCCUGGACAAAGACUGACGCUCAGGUGCGAGAGCGUGGGGAGCAAACAGG